UAGUGAAGAUGAGGAUGAAGAUUCUAGUUUCGAGUCUGUGGUGUUCGAUUUCUCUACUGAAGAUAUCCCGAAGCAUGGUAAAUAUGUUUUUGCACAUGAUCUAAAAUUGGUGCAUGGUCAAAGAUGCGUCGAAAAAAUGAGCCCCCAUUUUAAAAACCGUCAUUGCGAAGGCAGCAAAGUAAGUCAAAUAUGUCAUGAAAUAUGUGAAAACCAUUAAAACUUUGGAAGACAAAAAACCCUGCAAGUUGAUAACCCACUCGUUGGAAUUCCUAAUUGGCAAUUAUUGAGGUAACCGAAAAAAAAAAAUUACAUGUAACUGUCUACCAUUAAUUUAACUGGGUAUGAACGUAAACUACUGCAUGAAUUCUGUUUGGUUGAAAACCUUUGAACAUGCCAUAUUGAAUAUGCAACAGGAAAACAAUGUUUCCGGAAGUCUAGUUAUCCCUGUGACACUGGGUAUCGAACACAAGCUUUCCGACUAUAAACGACAUUCAACAGGACAAUAUUAACGUUGAUGUCUUUGAUAUCAAAAAGGCUUUCAAUUUACAAAGUUGAUGAUGUUUACUAUCAGCAGCUUUAUAUCUGAAAUUUAAACUUAUGUGGUUAACAUCUCCUGUUGACGUAGGAAAAAACUACUAGUGUAUGCUAGGAAACAAGACUUGUCUUGUGAAAAUUCUUGUGUGAAUGUGAUGAAUGAUCUCCUCCAAGGAAACUUAGUAAGUUUGAGAAUGGACUUUUCAGUUUUAUGACACCUACAAAGCUGGAAAAGAAGAGGUGUACAUGUGUUUCGGUGAUCAUGUUAAUAUAGAAGUAUCACUGCACCUCCUUGGGCCAUGUAAAGGGGGCAAAUUUGUUGCAUUACUGGAAGGAAAAUGUAGAUAAAAACAUAUUCCUGCAAAAUUAUACCGAAAUGAACCUGCUACCUCUGCACCAGUGGAAUGACUUUUUAGUAUUGCUGGGAAGAUCCAAGACCAGAUAGUUGCAAUCUAAAUGACUGUACACAUCAAAUGUUGAUGAUGCUAAAAUAAUCUACCUGUAAUCAAUUACAAUAAAAUUCUGAGUAA
rnacentral:misc_RNA from 1 species